rnacentral:rRNA from 1 species
UACGUAGGGGGCAAGCGUUGUCCGGAUUUAUUGGGCGUAAAGAGCGUGUAGGCGGCUUGGUAGGUCUGCUGUGAAAACUCGGGGCUCAACCCCGAGACGUCGGUGGAAACCACCUGGCUAGAGUCCGGAAGAGGAGAGUGGAAUUCCUGGUGUAGCGGUGAAAUGCGCAGAUAUCUGGAGGAACACCGGUGGCGAAGGCGGCAUCCUGGACCGGUAUUGACGCUGAGGCGCGAAAGCCAGGGGAGCAAACGGG